AUAGGGGAAACCCCGCCACCUAACGGCCGUAUACAUGUCGGCCGUGUACGCAGGAAGGAACAUGGACAUGAACCUAGUCAACGAGCGGGACUGCUACACUAUCAAGUAACAGCAUUUUGAUACAACAUUACAGGGCUAUAUCAACAGAAGCUAACAUUUUGAAAGGGCAACCUCUGUUUGGAGGGACAACAUUGAGCUGAAGAGAGACUAUCAUUAAAGCUCUGUGUCUACUUCAAUGAGGACAGCAACAAAAUAGUCAAGGAAUACUUGUGAAGAAGCUAAGAGGGUGACUGCACAGACCACCAUGGGGAUUUCUGUAAUUCGCCCAGAAGGUGCUGAAGAAGAGGAUGAGUCAGAGGAUGUUGGAGUGUUCAUUGAGGAUGUGGAACUGCUUAGCAACCUGAAGAGCAUCUCCCUUGGGUAUGCCAUACUUUUUGGCCUAACUUACACACUCAACCAGAGUUAUCUCCAAGAACUCAAAUAUACAUUUGGGUUGGCUCAAAUGUUUUUAUCAAAUAUACAUUUGAGUUCUUCCAAAAAGUCCUGAUGUCCCUGGAUGGCAACAAACUGUCUCCAAAGGUCCCAACACUCAAGAUUAAGAUGCUCCAGUAAGGACUCACAAGGACAAGGAAGUGGACUGCUUAGCAACCUGAAGAACAUCUCCCUUGGGGUAUGCCAUACUAGCCUGAUUUACACACUCAAAGUCAAAAAGUUAGGUUUCUUAUUGUUGCUUUCCUUCCAAUAGUACAUUACUGUCAGUUUGGAAAUGUUUUUAUUAUAAAAUAGCUGAAUGAUAUUGUUACAUUUAGGUGUAAUCAGGUUAAUGGUGUCUUUCAUUCUGUCAUCUUUAAAUGCUACCAAGUGCUGGCUCAAGUUUCUUAACUACGGUCAGUUUGGAAACUUAACGAUGUUUACAAAUGUAAUGUUCUUAAAAGUUUUAAGGUGUUUAAUUUAUUUAUUUUCUACAUUUGACUUUUUGAAUUGUUUUGUUUGGGCAGAGUUGAAAAAUCUCCCAGUCAAACAAAAAAAUAUAAAUACUUCUCUGCAGAUGGGAUAUAGGCUUCAACAAAUUAUCUCAGGUCAGCAAGUUAUUCAGAAAUUAUAGCCUCAAUUCUUCAUCUUGUUAUUUACAGAUGUGACUAGGCCUAAUUGUGGCUGUUAUUGGUACUUGAUUACAUUUCAUUGCAUUAAUUCAGUACUACGGCACAGAUUUAUUUUUUGUACCUCUGGCUGAAGUUGCUGUUACACUGAGUGGCUGUUCAGUCUUGCUGAGAUCUAUAAUAUUUUUGGCAUGAGUCUUUUCGCAUUAUUGUCUUCAGAUGGUCAGAAAUGGUGUACAUGCAUGCUUGUUCCCAUUCCCUAUCAGUUUGACAAUUGGUGUCUGAAUUGUUAAUAUAUUAUUAAACAGGUGGCAGUUUUAGGAUGAACUCCUCUGUCAUGUCCUAUGUGCAGACACGUGGGAGGUACAGAUACACACCAGUAGCCUCUUGCUUAAUUGUACUUUUUUGUUUUUACAUAUUACCCAUCAAUGUUACACAUAAAUGAAUGCCAGUCAUAUUCAAGCCAUUGACAAAUGAGUUAACGCAAUCCUGAUUAAGCCCAUCAGCUCCACGUAACUAUGUCCCAGUAUAGAAGUGUUAUGAAGCUCAUGUCAUCCGUUGACAUUGGUGCACAGGAAGCGAUUUGUUUCUCGUUUUCUGUCUUUUUAUUUCAGUCUUGAGGUAAAACAAAUCACUUCCUGAUGUGGGCCAAUGCGCUGAUGUCAACGGACGACACAAGAUUCCAAACACUGCUAUACUGGGACAUACAGUUAUGUGGAGUUGAUGGGCUUAAUCAGGAUUGUGUCAACUAAUUUGUCAAGUUUGGGAACUGUAGACUUCAAUGUAAGUGACAUUCAUGUAUAUUAUGUUAUGUUACUAUGUUAUAUAGUGUGAAUGUCUAAAGAUGUUUUAAUGUCUAAUUUUAAACUGUAUUCUGUGGCCCCAAUUUGGUGCUUAAUAUUAAUAAAGAAACUUUUUCUUAACUA